rnacentral:rRNA from 1 species
UUUCCGGGUAAAUCGUGUAGCUUAACUAUACGAAUUCUAGGAAGACUGCCAGACUUGGGACCGGGAGAGGCUAGGAGUACUUCCGGGGUAGGGGUGAAAUCCUGUAAUCCUGGAAGGACUACCAACAGCGAAGGCACCUAGCUAGAACGGCUCCGACGGUGAUGGACGAAGCCCUGGGGCGCGAACCGGAUUAGAUACCCGGGUAGUCCAGGGUGCAAACGCUGCCCGCUUGAUGUUGGGAAGGCUACGUGCUUUCCCAGUGUCGGAGAGAUGUUGUUAAGCGGGCUGCCUGGGGAGUACAGCCGCAAGGUCGAAACUUAA